rnacentral:rRNA from 1 species
UAUCUCUGUAGAGUCUGCAUAUCAAUAAGCGGAGGAAAAGAAACUAACUAGGAUUCCCUCAGUAACGGCGAGUGAAGCGGGAAGAGCUCAAAUUUGAAAUCUUCAAGGUACUACCUUGACGAAUUGUAGUUUAAAGAAGUGUUUUCUGUUGGAGUUUUGGUAAAAGUUCUUUGGAAUAGGACAUCAUAGAGGGUGAGAAUCCCGUAUUUGACCAUUAUUUCCAGCUUUGUGAUACACUUUCAAAGAGUCGGAUUGUUUGGGAAUGCAGUCCAAAAUGGGUGGUAAAUUUCAUCUAAAGCUAAAUAUUGGCGAGAGACCGAUAGCGAACAAGUACCGUGAGAGAAAGAUGAAAAGAACUUUGAAAAGAGAGUUAAACAGUACGUGAAAUUGUCAAAAGGGAAGCGUUUGACACCAGUGUUGUUUUCUCGAAAAUCAAUUAAAAAAGGCAGGAUUUUGUGUUGUAUUGACUUUAUCAGCUUUCUGCACUCUUUUCUUGUCUUUUUUAAUGCACUUUUCGUUUAACAAGUCAACAUCAAUUUCUUUUGUUGUAAAAGGGUCAUUGGAAGGUGGCUUUCUUUUCGGAGAAAGUGUUUAUAGCCUUUGGCCUCUGCAAUCGGAGAGAUUGAGGUCUGCAGCGUAGAUCCUUCGGGGUUAGAUACAGUUAGAUGCUAAGUUAUAGCCUUUUCAUAGACAACUUGUUGACUAUAAUCAUCAUGUAGCUUACUCGCUUAUGGCUAUUUUACCUACGCUUAGGAUGUUGAUAGUCACAGCGUGUAC